AUGGAAAUCAAUGAAAAAAGGGGAUGGCCGGGGAUGCUAGGUAGUCUUGAUUGCAUGUAUUGGAGGUGGAAAAAUUGCCCAAAGGCAUGGCACGACAUGUAUUGCGGUAAAAGUCGUGAUGCUACCAUUGUGCUUGAGGCCGUAGCAUCGGAGGACACAUGGAUUUGGCGUGCAUUCUUUGGGUUGCCGGGAACACUCAGUUAUAUCAAUGUCCUCAAUAGAUCUCCUUUGUUCAAAAGAUUAAUUUCUGGGGAUGCUCCAGCAUGCAACUACAAAAUCAUGGACAAUGAGUACUCAAUGGGAUACUAUCUCACCGAUGGCAUCUAUCCCGAAUGGUAA
rnacentral:rRNA from 1 species